AAUAUGACAAAAAGAAUGAUACAAAAGUGUGAAAAGUUGUUUACGUAAUCAUGACUAGUCUCCUGGGUGACUGGAAAAUAGAGACAGUAGUGGAAGAGAGGAGAACAUGCUCAUGGACAGUGUUGAAUGGAGACAAGGAGAAGGCCUUAGGAUCUACUGGGGGAGUCCGGAGGAGCAGUCCCUUCUGUCCCGCUGGAACCCAUGGUCCACUGAAGUUCCUUAUGCUACUUUCACUGAGCAUCCUAUGAAAUACACCAGUGAGAAAUUCCUUGAAAUUUGCAAGCAAUAGUCUGGCACUUUCAUUUGCCAAGCCAUUUCUUAUUCAAAGGCCACCCAAAGUCCCAGCUCUCUAGGAAAACAAAUGAUCUCCAUCUGGAAUGUGAGAGGAUGAGUACUUUGAUCCAGUUGUCUGGGUUCAUGUCUAAGCUUGUUCCAGCUAUCCAGAAUGCCCACAAGAAUUCAACUGGAUCUGGAAGAGGAAAGA
rnacentral:sRNA from 1 species